GACGAACGCUGGCGGCGUGCUUAACACAUGCAAGUCGAACGGAAAGGCUCCAGCUUGCUGGGGUUCUCGAGUGGCGAACGGGUGAGUAACACGUGGGUAAUCUGCCCUGCACUCUGGGAUAAGCCUGGGAAACUGGGUCUAAUACUGGAUAUGACCUUUCUCCUUAUGGGGUUUGGUGGAAAGUUUUUCGGUGUAGGAUGAGCCCGCGGCCUAUCAGCUUGUUGGUGGGGUGAUGGCCUACCAAGGCGACGACGGGUAGCCGGCCUGAGAGGGUGAUCGGCCACAUUGGGACUGAGAUACGGCCCAGACUCCUACGGGAGGCAGCAGUGGGGAAUAUUGCACAAUGGGCGGAAGCCUGAUGCAGCGACGCCGCGUGAGGGAUGACGGCCUUCGGGUUGUAAACCUCUUUCAGCAGGGACGAAGCGUAAGUGACGGUACCUGCAGAAGAAGCACCGGCUAACUACGUG
rnacentral:rRNA from 1 species